UAUAUCUGGUUUCUCUGCAAAUCGCAUAAAUCUUUCGCCUUUUACUAAAGAUGUACGUGCCGCUUAGAAGAACGUUUGUACGAGACUUUUCCAAUUUUUCGUCGGCCUUUCGAGGCCU